rnacentral:rRNA from 1 species
AAUAGAUACCCCGGUAGUCCACGCCGUAAACGAUGAGUGCUAAGUGGUUAGGGGGUUUCCGCCCCUUAGUGCUGCAGCUAACGCAUUAAGCACUCCGCCUGGGGAGUACGGUCGCAAGACUGAAACUCAAAGGAAUUGACGGGGGCCCGCACAAGCGGUGGAGCAUGUGGUUUAAUUCGAAGCAACGCGAAGAACCUUACCAGGUCUUGACAUCCCAUUGACCGCUAUGGAGACAUGGCUUUCCCUUCGGGGACAGUGGUGACAGGUGGUGCAUGGUUGUCGUCAGCUCGUGUCGUGAGAUGUUGGGUUAAGUCCCGCAACGAGCGCAACCCUUGUUCUUAGUUGCCAUCAUUUAGUUGGGCACUCUAAGGAGACUGCCGGUGACAAACCGGAGGAAGUGGGGAUGACGUCAAAUCAUCAUGCCCCUUAUGACCUGGGCUACACACGUGCUACAAUGGACGGUACAAACGGUUGCCAACCCGCGAGGGGGGAGCUAAUCCGAUAAAACCGUUCUCAGUUCGGAUUGUAGGCUGCAACUCGCUACAUA